AGCGCCCUGUCACUCCGUCUCCAACCCCUCCCAGUCCUGGCCUCUGAGAGCUGCCCUGCUGUCCGCUCCUGGGCACUUCCACCCUCCCAGGGCCCAGACUGUGGCCCUGCCUCCCCCUACACCCACCCACCCCCACCCCACCCCACCCCCCGCCCGCCCGCCCGCUCCUUGCGAGCCCCGCGCACUGUGUUCCAGGGCCCCUGAGCGUGUCUGUGUCAGGGACGGUUCCCUGUCGAACAUAGAUUCCAAGAUCCCAGCACCCCACCCCACCCGUACACACAGGCCUAGUAUCCAGGAAAACGUAGACAGAGCUGGGGCCUGUACCCGGGAAGGUGGUGGUCGUCAGAGGUCUCUGUCCACGCUUCUGGGCGUGUGGACAGCAGGAAAGUAACAAAGUCUUUCCACGUCAGUCACCCGACCGGUGUGGCCCCCCUGGGAGGGAAAGCCACUCCAGCACACCCGUGCUCCAGGGGACCAUCGGCAUGGUGGGGACCAUCGGCGGUGCCUGCGGGCCUCUCACCUGGGGAGGUCAGUCAAGGUGGUCUGGAGGGCACCGUCCACAGCCCAGGCACGAGAAGAGUGUCGGCUUUGUCCAGGUGCUCGGGAAUUCCCAGACUGGGGCUCGUGACAUGUGGACGCGUGGGAGAGAGGAGCGGCAAUGAGCCCCGUGCCUGGGAGUGGGGAUGGACAGAACUCUCUGAUGAGGCAGAGGAAAGACCCAAACGCUGGGCUUGGGGAUGGGAAAGGAACAUGGGCCCUGAGAUCCAGAACGUGGAUUUGGGUGGCGGGGGGGAGAGUGGCGGGGAGCUUGGAGACCACACCGGGGGCUGUCCGCCCGAGAACGGCCCUGACUGUUGUCUGGUCUGUGCGUGCGGUCGGCCCUCGAGCUGGCGGGAAGCCGCUGCCUCUCUUCACCCAGGGGCUCUCCCAGCUCCUCGGUGAUGCUGCCCAGACCCGCUCAAUGCCCAGCACCACUGCCCGCCCGCCUAGGCCUGUCUUGCUGGUUGGUGUUUGCUUGGCUACGUGGUGGCCUGUUGUCUGGUUGGAGCUGCAGGUGAAGUGCGAGGCCAGUCACUGGCCACGGUUUGUCCCCAGAAGGAGCAACCCUGGGACCCCAGCACCUGAGCGCGUCCUGGCCGUGAGACCAGGGGCUCCAUCCCAGGACCCUGAGAUCAGAACCUGAGCCGAAACUGAGAGUCGCCAGUGGGAUGCUCAACCGACAGAGCCUCCUCAGGCGCCCCGGCUCUUCCGUCUUUGCAGGGUUGCAAACAGAACCCGCGGAAAGCCCCAGAAAGCAAGCAGGAUACGCGGCAGAGCUGCUGUGGGGCCCGCAAAGCCCAAGGAGUGUGCGCUCUGCCCUUUGCACAGGGGUUGCUGCUGGCAACCAGCCCCGGAGGCAGUCGGGGGGCUGGGGGGCGGGAAGGGCUUUCCCAUCCCAGCAGCCCCGUCAGCCCCCGCCCCCAGGCCCGGGAGCUGGGAGGCCCCCACCCAGGCCCCACCCAGGCAGGAGGCUCCGGAACCUCCUCCGCUGGGCCCAGUGGCUCCUGCUGCCCCCCGCCCCCAGUCCUCCCUGCCUUCCCCAGGGCCGGGGUGCAGCUUGCCCUGCUUGAGGCAGGUGGGGGUCACCUCUCUGCAAGUAGGUGCAGUCCCUGCUCUUCCCCCCCACUCCCCUCUCCUCCCCUGUGCUCCAGCCUCCACGGAGCAGCUGGCAAGCAGGUCGGGGCGGGGAGCGGAGAGGAGAGGGGCAGGCCCCUCUGUGGGGGUGCAGGCCCACAGGCCCCUCUUCUUCCCCGACGGGCAGUGUCAGGUAGCCCCGUGUGCCUGCUGGGCUCUGCUGGCUCAGGGGGUGGCAGGUGCCAGGUGGCCUCUCCUGCUGUGGCCUCGGGAGCCCAAGGGCGUCUCCUUUCCCCGGAGAAGGGAGAAGCGCCCGCCCCAUCCUUCCUGGCUGGGAUUCAGAGAUGACUUCCCCGUGAUGACAGGCUCGGACUCGCUCGGGUAGCUCCAAAUUUGUCACGCAGGUUCUGGGGGCGGUGCUCUCCCCGUUGGCUCUCGCCGCUGGCCAGUGCCGGGAAGGGCCCUUGAUGGCAGCUCCUGGCACCGUCUCGGGCCACCCUGUGCUUUUUGGACCCGGGGACAGUGGGUCUCGGGGGAGCCUGGCUCUGUGUCUCCCCGGAGCAGAAGCAGACUGGGGCGUGGCUUGCUGGGCCUUGGCUCAGCGGGGACUGUGGGGUCGUGGUUCCUGGGGCCAUCCCUCCGCCGGGGUGUUGGGCCGCGUGGUCCUGGAGAUGGCUCCCCUGGAGACACGCAGGCCCCGGAGAGCCCCGCACUCCUGGUGACACGUGACCAGUGUCUUCACCAUCCCCCUGGCCUGCACCUGAGCUGAGCCACCCUCCUGUCCCUGGGCCCUGGGCAGGAGGAACAGCCAGGAGGGCCCGGCUUCCCUUAGCCUUCCCUCUGGGGCCACCUGCCCAGGAGGGCUCCCGAGGGCCCCAUGGGUGCCGAGUCUCCCCUGCCCCAGCUGUGCAGGGGCUCCUCCUAGUGGCCGCUCUGCGGGUGGGCGCACUCCCUGGCUGCGGAUACUGUCCCCGCCCCAGCUUCGCUGCCCAAACCUGGCCCUCACCCUCUCUGACCGGCCUGUCCUCAGCAGAUGUGCCCACUCGAGGACAGCCCCCAACCCCACCCACUGUGCCGUGCUUUCCUCAGCCCUCCUGCCCUGCCCGUGGCCUCAGGCAGGGCCCGCUCGGGGACCCCUGGGAAGACAGCCCCCCCCCCCCGCCCCGCUCCCGAGGGGUGGAGGUGGCCAAGCCAGCCGCUGAGCAGCGGGCCAGCGGGCCAGCCGGCCCCCCGCUGGUUAGUGCCGUCCCCUGGAUGACCUACCUUCCACGUGAGGAGGGGACACGGCUCUCUGCGGGGAGCCUGUCUGAGGUUGGGACGGGCCUUCCGGAGCGGGAGCUGGAGCGGGAGGAGGCCCGUCCAGAGCUGCAGAGUGCUGCUUGCACCUGGGGUCCCUAUGGUGGCACCUGUCACCCUGCGUGCUCGCGGACCCUGUCUUAGCGGCCACCCCAUCCUCCUUCCUCUGGCUCCGUCGGGGUUCCGGGGUGGGAGCUGCCCUGAAGCACCUUGGCCCUAUGUCCUGGAGGGAGGUGCGGCCCCCCCAUGCCGGGUAGCCCCCUCGGGAACCCCACAGUUCCCCAGACUAACGUUGCCCUUGCUGAAGUGCUGGGACCCCAUCCUGUGUCGCUGAGUGGCAGCCCACCCACCCUGAAGGGCCAGUGCUCCCCUUUCCUCCCCCCCAGUCCCCUUCCAGCCUCCUGCUGGGCAGUGCGGGGCAGCAACAGGCCACAGUGAGGAUCAGGAGCAGAGGUGAGGCUGGGCCAGGGGUGGAGGCUGGCUGUGGGGGGGAGCGGGGGCGGGGGACACCCACGGGGAUGCGCAGGGGACGCGCAGGGGGCAGGACCUGCAGGGCAGGGGGCUGCUCCAGACUAGGGUGACCAGCGGUCCCCUCCCUAGACUUAGUGGAGGAGAUGGGGCCAGCCUGGGGAGGGUGUGUGGCCGGGACCGCUCCUCUGCUCCCAGCGCCUGUUGGCAAACAGGCGUGGGGCCUGGGGGGGCCGAGGCUGCACCAACCCCUGCGGCUCUCGGCGGGUCCCCGGGCCUUCACAACCCGGGUGGGAGCCCGGCCGAGGGCCUGGACCUUGCGCCCCUCCCUGUCUCCUCCUAGCAUCCGGGCUGGAGGGCAGGGCGCUGGCGCCGGAGGUCGGGGGUGUCCUCCAGGGGUUUUCUCUGUCCCAGGCCGGUUUGCCCCCAGCAGGAUGGAGUCCCGGGACUCCUUUUCCUGGUGCCAUCGGCCUGUCCUACCCUGGGGCCCUUUGCAGGGAUGGCGUCCCAGUCUUGCUACCCUCCCGCCACCUCCCCGCCCGCGCCCCCCGCCCGCGCGGGACUCAGGCUCAGGCCUCUUCUGGCCUGUAGUCUCUGUCCGGCACUGGCUCCAAGGGCUUGUUCUCCCCUAGGCUGGCAUCCUCUGCCCUUGCUGCCCGACGUGUGUCCCAGCUGCCUGGGCACAAUGUGGUGUCUGGGGACGGACGGGGGCUCCCGGUUAGCUCGGCUCGGCUCUGGAGCUGUGCUUCCGGGGGGGCCCUGGUCAGCAUGUAGAAGUGGUGGGGCCUGGCUUUAUUCACCUGUGUCCUGCGUGCCUCCAGUGGGACAGUCUCUCCCGGAGACUGGCCACCGGGAGCCUAGGGUAGCAGACCAGACCCAGGUUCAGGAGCACUGUGGACCCGAUGGCUCUCUCCUGCCCUGAAGGCCUUCUGCAGCCCCAGACUGUGGACCUCGGCAGUUUUUGUAGGCUCCUGCUUUGUGCCAGGACUCAGUGGCCCCGACGUAUUCUCUCUAGCUCGCGCUGCUCGAUCCUGUGCAGCCAGGAUUCAAGGCAGGUGCACCCCUGGGCCUGCCCUGUAGGGACCUCCUCUUCCUCUGGGAACAGCAGGGGCCGAAGCUGGAUAGCCAGCGUCGGAGCACAGCUGCGAGCUCUACCCCUCGCAGAGUCUGUGGGGCACUUGUCUCAGCCUCCCUGUCCUGGGUGGUACCGCUCUGGCAGCCCAAGCCUGCACACCUGGUGCCCCACCUUGGGCCACUGGGUCCUCUGCCCGGGGAGCCACUGUCCAGUGAACCAAAGGCAGCUAUUGCCCCCCUGCUGUGCCCCUGGGCCCCUCAGAACCCUUGGUGGGGACUGAGGGGAAGGAAGCUGCCCUGAUCCUUUGGGAGUGUGAGAACUGGACUGCAGCUGUCCUGGUGGGGCAACUCCAGAGCCCUGGGUUGCUUCGGGGAAGGGGGCCCAUGGGAGCUUUCACACAGCCAGUCCCAGUGUCCUGGAAAGCACUAAGUGGAGACCUUGACGCCUGGCCUUUGACCACCUUUGGAUCGGGGCACAUGGAGACAAAUGGACGUUGUUGUCCUUGGGGAAUAAAUGAAUGAAAAGCGGGAGACUGUGUCACAUGGUUGGGACUAUUCCCUGUCUUCUUUCAUGCAAGAAACCACAGUGGUGCCAAGUACGCCUCACUCCCCCUUUCCUGCAACAGAGGCGUUAGAGGGCUAUCCCAGCCACAAGCCAUGCCAUCUCUCUCCCUUUGGGAUGCCCCGAGCUCAGCUCCCUUUCCUCACGCUCUGCCCCACCUACUCCAGACCGUCACGUCAACCUUGCCCUUGGGUCCAGGAGGCUCCGCUUGCCUUUCUGCCGAGAUCCAUGGCCUGCCCAGGUACUGAGUGUGGGGCAGUUGCGUUCCCAGGCAGGGUUAGUCCCUCCUCUCCACACACUUGACUUGGGAUUAGCUGGUGAGAGGAGCUGCGUCACCCUGUCUCUCCGUGGAGCUGUCAGGCCCCU